CGGGGUGGAUCAGUGGCGAACGGGUGAGUAACACGUGAGCAAUCUGCCCUUGACUCUGGGAUAACUUCGGGAAACCGGAGCUAAUACCGGAUAUGACAUACGGCCGCAUGGUCUGUGUGUGGAAAGAUUUAUCGGUCAGGGAUGAGCUCGCGGCCUAUCAGCUUGUUGGUGGGGUAAUGGCCUACCAAGGCGACGACGGGUAGCCGGCCUGAGAGGGCGACCGGUCACACUGGGACUGAGACACGGCCCAGACUCCUACGGGAGGCAGCAGUGGGGAAUAUUGCGCAAUGGGCGAAAGCCUGACGCAGCGACGCCGCGUGAGGGAUGAAGGCCUUCGGGUCGUAAACCUCUUUCAGCAGGGAAGAAGCGAAAGUGACGGUACCUGCAGAAGAAGCACCGGCUAACUACGUGCCAGCAGCCGCGGUAAUACGUAGGGUGCAAGCGUUGUCCGGAAUUAUUGGGCGUAAAGAGCUCGUAGGCGGUCUGUCGCGUCUGCUGUGAAAACUCAGGGCUUAACCCUGAGCUUGCAGUGGGUACGGGCAGACUAGAGUGCGGUAGGGGAGACUGGAAUUCCUGGUGUAGCGGUGAAAUGCGCAGAUAUCAGGAGGAACACCGGUGGCGAAGGCGGGUCUCUGGGCCGUAACUGACGCUGAGGAGCGAAAGCAUGGGGAGCGAACAGGAUUAGAUACCCUGGUAGUCCAUGCCGUAAACGUUGGGCGCUAGGUGUGGGGCUCAUUCCACGAGUUCCGUGCCGCAGCUAACGCAUUAAGCGCCCUGCCUGGGGAGUACGGCCGCAAGGCUAAAACUCAAAGGAAUUGACGGGGGCCCGCACAAGCGGCGGAGCAUGCGGAUUAAUUCGAUGCAACGCGAAGAACCUUACCAAGGCUUGACAUGGGGUGAAAACUCGCAGAGAUGCGGGGUCCGCAAGGGCGCCUCACAGGUGGUGCAUGGUUGUCGUCAGCUCGUGUCGUGAGAUGUUGGGUUAAGUCCCGCAACGAGCGCAACCCUCGUUCUAUGUUGCCAGCACGUUAUGGUGGGGACUCAUAGGAGACUGCCGGGGUCAACUCGGAGGAAGGUGGGGACGACGUCAAAUCAUCAUGCCCCUCAUGUCUUGGGCUUCACGCAUGCUACAAUGGCCAGUACAAAGGGCUGCGAGACCGUAAGGUGAGCGAAUCCCAAAAAGCUGGUCUCAGUUCGGAUCGGGGUCUGCAACUCGACCCCGUGAAGUCGGAGUCGCUAGUAAUCGCAGAUCAGCAACGCUGCGGUGAAUACGUUCCCGGGCCUUGUACG
rnacentral:rRNA from 1 species